UACGGGGGGGCUAGCGUUGUUCGGAAUUACUGGGCGUAAAGGGCGCGUAGGCGGUCUGCUAAGUUGGAUGUGAAAACUCUGGGCUUAACCCAGAGCCUGCAUUCAAUACUGACAGGCUAGAGUUCUGGAGGGGAUAGCGGAAUUCCUGGUGUAGCGGUGAAAUGCGUAGAUAUCAGGAGGAACACCGGUGGCGAAGGCGGCUAUCUGGACAGAGUCUGACGCUGAGGCGCGAAAGCGUGGGGAGCGAACAGG
rnacentral:rRNA from 1 species